rnacentral:rRNA from 1 species
CAGCUAGUUGGCGGGGUAACGGCCCACCAAGGCUACGAUCAGUAGCUGGUCUGAGAGGAUGAUCAGCCACAUUGGGACUGAGAUACGGCCCAGACUCCUACGGGAGGCAGCAGUGAGGAAUAUUGCUCAAUGGGGGAAACCCUGAAGCAGCAACGCCGCGUAAAGGAUGAAGGCGCUUUGCGUUGUAAACUUUUGUAGUCGGGGACAAACCGGGAGUUACUACUCCCCUGAUGGUACCCGAAAAGUAAGGAUCGGCUAACUACGUGCCAGCAGCCGCGGUAAUACGUAGGAUCCGAGCGUUGUCCGGAUUUACUGGGUGUAAAGGGUGCGCAGGCGGACUGGUAAGUCAGAGGUGAAAUCUCGUCGCUUAACGACGAAACUGCCUUUGAUACUAUCAGUCUUGAAUCCGGUAGAGAUCUGUGGAAUUCCGAGUGUAGCAGUGAAAUGUGUAGAUAUUCGGAAGAACACCAGUGGCGAAGGCAGCAGAUUGGGCCGGUAUUGACGCUCAGGCACGAAAGCAUGGGGAUCAAACAGGAUUAGAGACCCUGGUAGUCCAUGCCCUAAACGAUGUUCACUUGAUGUCUGCCCUCAGGGUAGUGUCGAAGCUAACGCGAUAAGUGAAAC